UGUUGUGUUCCCAUGCAGAAUACAAGUUUUGAGAUCAGAACUUCCUUUUCCGGAGAAAGCAGGAGAGGCGGAGAAGGAAUAUAAAUUUUGAGGUUCUUUUCUGGCGAAGGAAUAGGAGUAUGAGUUCCAGGUCAAGGACCAGAUCGGCAGCUUCUUCUAGCAGGCAGAAAGAUAAUGUUUUUCGCACAUUUGGUCAAACACAGUAGGCUUCGUUGUGCAAAUAACAAGAACUGAUCCCCACCAUCCAUUGUGUCAGUUUACUGCUGUACAAUUCAGUUUAGUAAUUGGGGAUUUUGUUUGUUUGCUCUGCCAGGGACGGCUGUCUUGCCUUCCUCCACUCCCUCUCGGUAAUAUGCACGUUCUUAGGACAACUAAGUCCCCAUUCGUUUGUUCAAGAUCUACAGACUUAGUCAGUACAUUCGUUUCAUACCCAGAAUACAAAUGCAGCUAGCUAAUUUUCCAGGUGCUGCUUAAUACCCAGAAUGCAUGUUCUGCUUCCAUGUGCUGAAUAUAUGUCAAAUGAUGUGUGUCCUGUUUCAUGUUCUGAUAACAAAUCCUAAUUAUGUUUUGAGAUGUGCUUGGAUGGUUGGCUAUUGUAGACUGUAGUGUGGUGAUCAACCAUUAUUCUGUCAAAUCAUCUAGGGUGCUCACAGUCACAGUGAUGAGCUUGCUGCUGCUUCAAGGCUGGAAGACACCCUAUUCUUUUCAUGUAUAUUAGAUGGAUCGACCGUUGAGUUCGACAUGACUUUAGGAUAUAGUUCAUUAUAAGUGCAAUAUAUAUGGCUGUUAUGCAAGAGUCAGAUUCCACUGAACCCUGAUGCUUUAAGCCUGUGUUUCAUGCAGCUCUGUUUUUCCUUAUCUUUGAUAAAUUUAUACAUUGAAAAUAUAGAUGCUCAAAUUUUGUUCCGUUCACUACCAUGUAUGUAGACUUUCCAGAAUACGGAAUUGACACUCCCUGUUUCAGCCUAAUGGAUUCCUGACAAUAAGCCUCUACCCAGAUGGGAAGAAAAGCGUUCAGGCUAUAACUUUUCAGGGGGUGGGGCGGACAGUGGUCCAGAUGUACAUAUUCAUCAAGAAGCUACCAUGUAUGUAAAUUAAUCAAAGAAAUAAAUAUAAGCUUUCUUUAAGCUUCAGAGCCUCACUGCCACCCCAAAGAUGAACCCUGUUUCCGGGUUGCUGAGGGUGAGUGCCCUAUCCUCUAUCUUGAGACAUUUACCCUGCCCAAAUUAUCAUGUUGCAGAUCACCGUCCGUAGAAUGAUUAAGUAGUGCAACUGUUUUGGUAAAAGAGCAUGAGUCUCUCAUGCGCAUUAUCAUGAGUCUCUCAUGACUCAUGCUCGUUCUGUUUUUAUGAUAAUGACUGUUAUGCAAAGGGUCAGAUUCCCCUAAAUAUCGAAGCUUCAAUAAACCUG